rnacentral:tRNA from 1 species
UGCUCACAUGGCACAAUGGUACUGCAAUGGUCUCGAACACCAUGCCCUCACGGGCUUCCCGGUCCGAUUCCGGGUGUGAGCGU